UACGAGAGGCCCAAACGUUAUUCGGAAUUACUGGGCUUAAAGAGUUCGUAGGCGGCAUAGAAAAGUAGGGUGUCGAAAGCCCUCGGACUCAACCGAGGAAUUGACGCUCUAAACUGUCGUGCGUCGAAGGAAUCUAGAGGUGAGCGGAACUGAUGGUGGAGCGGUGAAAUGCGUUGAUAUCAUCAGGAACACCGGAGGCGAAGGCGGCUCACUGGGGAUUUCUGACGCUGAGGAACGAAAGCCAGGGAGCGAACGGG
rnacentral:rRNA from 1 species